UACAGAGGGUGCGAGCGUUUAAUCGGAAUUACUGGGCGUAAAGCGCACGUAGGUGGCGACGUAAGUCGGGGUGUGAAAGCCCCCGGGGCUCAACCUGGGAAUUGCAUUCGAGACUGCAUUGCUGGAGUACGGAAGAGGAAGGCGGAAUUCCCGGUGUAGCGGUGAAAUGCGUAGAUAUCGAGAGGAACACCGGUGGCGAAGGCGAGUCCCUGGGACAACACCUGACACUGAGGCACGAAAGCUAGGGGGAGCAA
rnacentral:rRNA from 1 species